GUCCGAGUUGUAAUUUGAAGAAGGUAUCUUUGGGCCCGGCUCUUGUCUAUGUUCCUUGGAACAGGACGUCACAGAGGGUGAGAAUCCCGUGCGAUGAGAUGACCCGGGUCUGUGUAAAGUUCCUUCGACGAGUCGAGUUGUUUGGGAAUGCAGCUUUAAGUGGGUGGUAAAUUCCAUCUAAAGCUAAAUAUUGGCGAGAAACCGAUAGCGAACAAGUACAGUGAUGGAAAGAUGAAAAGAACUUUGAAAAGAGAGUGAAAAAGUACGUGAAAUUGUUGAAAGGGAAGGGCUUGAGAUCAGACUUGGUAUUUUGCAUGCUGCUCUCUCGGGGGCGGCCGCUGCGGUUUACCGGGCCAGCAUCGGUUUGGAGCGGCAGGAUAAUGGCGGAGGAAUGUGGCACGGCUUCUGCUGUGUGUUAUAGCCUCUGACGAUGCUGCCAGCCUA
rnacentral:rRNA from 1 species